GUUGCGACGCGGAUCGAGCGAAGCGAGAGAGCAAGAGAGUGGAGUGCGGGAGCGCGCAGGAGGGAGAGAGUUUUAAAUUGCGCCCCUUAAUCGACGUGUAAUCCUCUACAACCGUGACAGCCCGGACAUAAUGCGCGCAACGAGAGAUGACCAGUUUGUUUUCUCUGGUGGAUAAUGGGAGGUGCUGGAUGAUGGUGUUCUAUUCUUUUUCACUCUUGGCGACGCCACCAAGGAAAAUCGAGGACCGAUCGUGAUAAGUCAAGCUCAAGUUUCAAUUGCAGCAGCUGAUAUCGUACCAGAAGUCCGCAUUUAGCUGUGAGUGACGUCGGCACUUUGCAAAAGGUACUGGAGUUCCUUUCAGAACUGCUUAUUAAACUCCUAAGUAAACCGACCUGCCAAACGAGACGAUGGUAGGUAGCGUCCAAACGGUCCUAUCUUUUUUCCUUCAACCCUUUUAGGAUCCAUGAGGACAUAACGGAGACUGUCUUCACCCACGAUGUGCGAUAUCAAUAUCUAACACACUCCCACGAGAAGUACACCGGGGUCGAAAGGAAAAAAUUAGGAAAUCCACCCUCGAGGACCUCCUCUUCUCAUGCUCGAUCUGGCGGAUCGGCUACGUUCCAAGGAUCAAAAGGAUCCGGCCGAAUCGAUAUUUCCGAAAGUUGGGUAAAUCGAGAGAGUACAUCGCGCCCGGCCGAGAGAUCCCGUCGACAAGGGCAGGAGGGAAUUGGGGGACUCAAGAGCGCGAAAAUCCUUUCUCGGCGGCUUGUCUCAGAUCUUCGCCGUGAAGUGGCGGAUUUCAAAGGACCCGCGCCGCGCCUCCGGCUUCUUGGUUCUGCGUCCUACGAAACGACCGUGAAAUGGGCGCACGCUUCACCGGGAUUUCGGGGUGGCCCGGGAGUAAGGGAGAAGUGGCGGUCAGGGCGUUCGCUCCGUGAAGAUGCACGUAAACGUGUGCGUGAGAAAAAGCGCGGAACGAAGGAAAUACGUAACUCUUGAGGGUCGCCGGACUUGAGGGAGAAUGAUCGAGGAGAAUGAUUUUGAAAUCUGACCGUUUUAUUUGAGAAAGAUCUUGGCAAUGACCGUAUAAAUACCAUAUAAGAGAGAUUUUAUUAAUUAUUAUUUAAGGGUGUAAAUUACAGAUAGAUUAGAUGGGUCAAGCGAGUAAAAGCUUUUUUGUCGAUCCUUCGAUGGAUCAAGAUGGAUAGUGGACGAUUUCAUUAACUCUGCUUGCCGAUGGACGGACGUGGAUGAAAUUUAAACUCGUCGGCAGAUGAUUCAAUAGACGAAUGGACAACCGGACAACCGAUGGACGAGUGUCCAUCGUCUCCCAUUACAUUUCGAAAUAAUUAGUUUCACUGUUCAAAUAAUAACUCUAUCGACGACGUUACAAUUAAGUCAAGGGAAUUGCACUAGCAAAUUCUGAUGAUCGCCAUCGACCUCGUUACAAAUUCCCUCGAGAAUCGCCCGGAGGAUCUCCCGCGCGCAGGACGCUCGCAGAAUUUCGCCUCCUCACUCCGGCAGCAUAAUUCAUCGCGGGAACUGCGCGAAGUGCAUCAAACGCGCGCGAGUCACCACGAAUGGAGGAGCAAUGGUGAGAGUUCUAUGGUGUAUCGGGGUUAGUCGCUCGACGUGGUAGCCAGUAUUGUUCGUGGUUUACCACAAAAGCCUGCAAAUGCCAACUUGAAAAGCUGGCGGCUACCCUGCGUACACGCGUCUAAACAGAUGCGGAAAUACGAUGCUUACCGAAUUUUCUGCUGGCAUACGAGCUGACGUGUUGUGUGCCUGCAGAUUUCGAUUUUCGACGGAGCAAUCAAUAAUUACAGUUAAUAUAAAAAGCAAUGACCGCACAUGCGAUAUCUCUCUUUCGUUUAACUAAUACAAAAUUUGUUGAUUUGCUGAGUUCCGCUCGGAAAUGACUUUGAAGCGAUUUGUAAAGCAAACUGAGCACGAGUCGCGCUUGGAGAACGUCGACCUUCAAAGGCACGGCCAUUAAUCUUCGAUUAAGUGCUCAACGAUCGGUCAAGGUAAUUUCACGAGUUUUCCUGAAUUAGGAAGGACCGUCUCACCCUCCCGGCUGCUGUGCCCCCGUAUCCGUGCCCGAUUCGCUCCCUUCGUGGCCGUGUCGCUCAUGCUCUACAGGGGAAUCGUCGUCUCCGUCAGCCACCAGUAUGUCACCAUACAGACCAGCGCGCCGGUACAAUAAGGGCCGACUGUGGCGAUCGAUAUGUGCACUCGACGGAAACGACCCAACGAAAGGUCGAUCGAAGUGAAAUCACUGCGUCUGCGAGCGUAAAAAAUAAUAUUACGCAUCCAGAGAAUGACGGGGAGUCAUUAUGCGCUUUAUCUUUAUCCUGAAGAAUCGGCCCGUGUUUUCUUAUCUUCAUGAAACUCUGUCGUACAUUUUAAAGAAAAGAGCUGCCUCGCUUCUGUUAAAUGAACAGCGAGGAAUAGGUGUUUAAAAUAAUGUCGCUUUAUAAUUAGUGACUGAAGAAUAUUAAUUAACACUGACGGAGAUUUUCAAUAUUAUAGAAGGACGUUCUAAAAAUGGAUAUGAUAAAAAUACAGGCGAUGGACGUUUGUUGCGCUCGCUUUCACGUUAUUAUCUUCUUUUUUCAACCUGGCCGGUUAUGUGGACAUAGUUACGGGGUGUAAGCCCUUGGCAAAAACUGAUUGAAUCCCCCAAAAUCCAACACCUUUAUGGAUGCUGGCCGUCUGUCGCGCGCUAUGCACACAUUGAUAUAUCGUCCGCAUAAUGGCGCCAUUGAGGCAUUACUAUUAUUGGCGAGAUUUGGGGAAAAACGAUCGAGCGUACUAACGGAUUCGUCGCAGCUUGCACGCUGUUUGCAAAUAGAUCUUGUAUAGGAAAGUAUUGUUCACGCAGCAGUUAUCUUGAUGGAUCGGUGUGCCUAAAUUAGCGAUCUGCAAAAUCGUCCAAGCUUGUAUUUAUUUCCAAGAAUUAAACUUUUAUGUGGAAAGAGAGAGAGAGAGAGAGAGAGAGAGAGAAUAGAUUCAUGCAACAAACAUAUUAAUCUUUCUAAUUGGAGAAGUAUGACUAACAACAUCUCAUUGAUGACACAAAAAUACUGUAUUAAGUUUAUAUCAAGAAUUUUAUAAAUAAAAAGUGAAGGCGAAUAAAUCUGAUUUAAAUACGAAAAUGUUUCAAUGCAAACA